rnacentral:rRNA from 1 species
AUUGAACGCUGGCGGCAGGCUUAACACAUGCAAGUCGAGCGGGGGGAGGUAGCUUGCUACCGGACCUAGCGGCGGACGGGUGAGUAAUGCUUAGGAAUCUGCCUAUUAGUGGGGGACAACAUCUCGAAAGGGAUGCUAAUACCGCAUACGUCCUACGGGAGAAAGCAGGGGAUCUUCGGACCUUGCGCUAAUAGAUGAGCCUAAGUCGGAUUAGCUAGUUGGUGGGGUAAAGGCCUACCAAGGCGACGAUCUGGAGCGGGUCUGAGAGGAUGAUCCGCCACACUGGGACUGAGACACGGCCCAGACUCCUACGGGAGGCAGCAGUGGGGAAUAUUGGACAAUGGGGGGAACCCUGAUCCAGCCAUGCCGCGUGUGUGAAGAAGGCCUUAUGGUUGUAAAGCACUUUAAGCGAGGAGGAGGCUACUCUAGUUAAUACCUAGGGAUAGUGGACGUUACUCGCAGAAUAAGCACCGGCUAACUCUGUGCCAGCCGCCGCCGUAA